UUGUAACUGGGAAUGUGUGGAAUUGGGGGUGGGUGGGUGAGAAGGAUGAAUCCUGACUACUGAGCUAGGGAUAAAGGGCAAAGGACACUGAGCAGGCUCUUGUAAUAAUCCAGGCAAGCACUGAUGUGCUUUGGACCAUGAUGGUGGCAGUGGAAGUAGCAAGAAGUGAUUGGAUUCUCAAUAUAUUUGGGCAGCAGAACUUACAGGGUUCCCAAACAGGAUGAAUGUGGGUUGUAAGAAAAGAAGGGGAGCAAAGGACAGCUUCCAAGUUUUUGUUUCAAAGUAUUGUUAAUUACCAAGACAUGGAAGACUAUGGAGGGAACAUUUUUAAAUGACAGAAAACAGGAGUUCAAUUUGGGGCAUGUUAAAUAUGAGAGGAUUUUUAGAGAUCAGGUUGAGAUGUUGAGAAGGCAUUUGGACAUGUUAGCCUGGAGUUUAGGAGCAUUUGGUAUAUAUAAACUUGGAAGUCAGCAAUAAAUUGUAAUGGCAAACAAAUCCUCCUGCCUUGUAUACACAAGAGAGAUAUUAGGGGGAGUUGGGAGGACAGCUUCUAAAUAUUUGUUGGAUGAAUCAAUAAAUGGAAUGAAUUAUUUUUUCCAGCUGUACAUGGAGUUUGUUUAAGCCGUUUGUAUUGAACAGUUUGCAAUGUGAUCAACAGGACAUAUUUGGGGAAUAAUCGAGUAGGCCAGUGGUUCUUGGUGUGAGCUGGGAGAACUUUUGCAAUUGGAGAUGUUGUGAAAUCCUCUAGGGACUUUCUCAAGUUACACCACCAUUCUUGGUUGAAAUUGUUGUGGUGGGGAAAUUUUUUUUGAGAACCAUCGAGUUAGUGCUAGCAUAGAAUCUAACAAGAAAUGGCCCUGCAUCCAUUCUCUUUUCUUCUAAUAACAGCCCCAGAUUUCCAUUUUUGGACCUACCUUUUCCUUUUUAUCAGGCUAAGUGUUCAUGGUGGGGCUCUGUCCUUAGUUCCAGGGAUAAAGCCUGUGACCCAAACUUAAACCGCAGAUCAUUUUCCCCAGGCCAUGGAGAUUGUUUCAAAUGUGGGCACAUGGCCUGAAUGGGUCAUAUCAGAGUAAAUCUUAGGGCUUCUGGGUUAUGCCACCAUCACAGGCUCUUGCUUUCCUCACUGAACUUGAACCUAGACGGAUGUAAGCUGGAGCUGUGGCAGCCAUCAUUGCCCUGUGAAAAGUCCACUUGGAGCUGCCAAAGACCACCCCAGGAGCUUCAGAAUGAAGACAACCUGGAAGUCAGAGCUGACAGGGAGCCUGAAGAAAGCAUAUCUAAUUCCACACACAAAAACAACAGAUUUCAAUUGGAAUUUAAUUAUGUAUAUAUCCAUUUUGGAAGAAUGUAUAUCUUCAUAGUGAUCUGAGGAAAUGUUUUCUCUUUUAUCCUACGCUAUCUGUAGUUGACCACAAUCUGGUAGAUUAUGCAUUUGUAAACAGAAAUAAAGCAUUUGAUUUUCUCCCUACCUAAUCCCUCCAGAAUUUGAAAAUGAUGAGUGAGUAUUCUUACAUUCAUGACCAUAGUUGUUUGUAUAGGUCCAAUAAGAAUCUAUCUGUUUGUAACAGGACACAAUGGAAAACAUUGGUUACAUUACCAAAGCUUUGGAAUGUAAUUUUUAGAAUGUCAUAGAAUCAGAUAUGACUACACAGUUUUAAGAAACUAAGGAUGACUUUGUGGGGCGAAUAAGGCCCCUUAAAAAACCCCCAGCCUGGUACCUUGCUCACAGAGUUCCUAGCCUUAUAGUUGAGUAAAGAAGGUAACUUUCAUGCAGGCCCAGGAGCCUUAAAAAUAUUUUGGAGACCUCGAGAACAGAGGAACUCACCCAAAUCUAGAGGUGUUACAGGCAAAAUCUAAUGACAAGCUCUUGGCUUGGCUUCCUAGACUUGAGAGGCUUUUAGAUUCCUUAUUAGCAGUUCCAGCAAAGCAGACUUAAAAAGAGCCUAUACGAUCAAUCACUAUUCUUGCUGCAUUAUAUAAAUAAUCAAGACAAGUUUAAUGUGACUAGACUUAUUUUGUAAAAAAAUUAGUCUUACUGUGAUUAUGUUUGGUAAAAGUGGGAGUGACUGUGGAGAGAAAAAUUAUAUUAACAAAAACUAUAGUGUACCCGUUAUUGGAUUCUAGUACUGUUCAUUGUCUUUGAAGUUUUGUUAUCUAUAUGUAGAAUGGAUUAGAUAUUAAACUCUAAUUUCCUCCCAUAUCCGGCAACAAAUCUUCAGGCUAAUGCUUCAUGUUUUUCUCCUACUCUCUUGACUUGACAUCACUGAAAACUGAAGCUGCCCUUUUCCUGAAAUUUUGCAAGCUGAAACUGGAUGACUUGAUAUAAACUUCAGAGAACUCACUACCACAACUAAUAUAUAAGCAACCUUUGUGCCUGUUGCUGUGUAGGCCACUCAGAAAGUCCACUGGAACACCCAAUGACCUCACCAGAGACAUUCAAACUGCAAAUCAGGAAAUUGAUCAGAAUUACCACUGCUUAUCUUCACUCUCUAUCUAAAGAUGCUUUGAGCCCAACCUAUAGUACCCUUUACCAACUGAUUGCCCUCUGGACUCAAAAGCUGGGCUUAUAACUUGCCCUAAACAUUAACCUUUAUUUUUCUUUUGUUUCCAUAGAAAUGCCUCUUAUUGGGCUGGGCGCGGUGGCUC
rnacentral:lncRNA from 1 species